UGUUGCUGGAGCAGUGUCAGAUCGUUGGGAGAUUAACACAGUAUAUUUAAGGACAUCACAUAGAUUAUUUGAUGAUACUGGUAUAUCAGAAACCCAGUCAUCAUAUGUACACCAAAAAGAGUGAGGAAAAUUUCUCAAAGCACAAAAUACAGGGAGACACAAAUUCUGUUACAGCAAAUGGCUAAGUUCAUCUGAAGCUUCUGGUGGCGCAUAUUACUGAACAGAGAGUUGGAUGUUAUUCAGAGCAUUACAAAUGGGAAGAAGUGUAUGGUUCUUGAAGUUAUAGAUUCUGAUUCUGUGGAAAGUACAAGUGGCAAUGAACAUGAACAAACACACAUACAUGUUAAUGAGGAUAUUGAAGACAUCAAUGAUGAUAUAAAUGUAACAGACAAUAAAGAAA
rnacentral:lncRNA from 1 species